CCGUGCCUUCUUCUCCUCCCGAAGAAAAUCGUUAUCCACUUUUGUGUGGAGCAGGCCAUGCAGACGCUCUGCCCUCCCUCUCUUUCACCUUCCUAACCUUAUUCUUCACUUCCCUCCCUGAAAUCCUCCAUGGCCACCGCCUUCUCUUCACUUCCUGGAAAUUACUCUAUCCCUUCCCGUACACUCCUUCGCCGCCGCCAAUCGCUUUCGCCGCUUCACUGUUCAAUUUUCCACUCCGCCCCGGCAUUGCCUCUUAAUUACAAUUUCACCCCUCCGAGACACGCCUUGUCAGUCUCCUGCAAGGCGACGGAGGUAUCGUUGAGCGAGGAAUCUGCGUCUCCCGGCGGCGGACAGGACUGGGUGCCCGUGGUGCCUCUCUCCGCGCUUCCUAAGGGAGAACGCCGAGUAAUUAUCCAAGACGGCGAGACGAUUCUGCUGCUUUGGUAUAAGGACGAGGUCUUCGCGAUUGAAAAUAGGUCUCCCGCCGAGGGUGCCUACACUGAAGGUCUCCUCAAUGCCAAACUCACUCAGGAUGGAUGUAUAGUUUGUCCAACUACUGAUAGUACAUUUGAUCUUCGUACGGGAGCUAUUCGGGAAUGGUAUCCUAAGAACCCAGUUCUCAGAGUUCUCACCCCUGCUUUGAGGACGCUUUAUAUUUAUCCUGUAAAGGUUGAUGAAGAAAAUAUUUACAUCAGCUUGAAAGGAGGUGUAAAAUCUGAUGCAUCUGCGGAGAUUGUCUUUAGCGGCAAAGCUCAGCCUGGUCUUACUUCAACUGAUGUUAAUGUGGAGGAGGUGAAAAUGGUUGUCGAUGAGAAUCUUGAGGGGUUUGGUUUCUCGGGAAAGAACGAAUUGAUAAAUGGGAAGGCGGCUGUGAUAGGCUUCUUGCUACUGUUAGAUUUUGAACUCUUGACUGGUAAAGGCCUACUCAAGGGUACAGGCUUCCUUGAUUUCCUGUAUGCUGCCACAAAUGCUUUCAAGUAGAGUAUGAUGUCGUGAUUCUCCUCCCAUGUUGAGAUAAGUCUCUCUGAUACAUAGGAUGGUUGCAGGCAAUAGGAAUAGCUGCUACUUAAAUGCAAUGCAUUCCUUCAACAUGUGGUGGUGGUGAUGUGUUGAAUAGAAUGUGCUCGUGGUCAACCCAAAUCCAAAACUAAAGUUUUUUCAAUAUUCAUAAUCUAACUAUUUGUCAUCAGGUUU